rnacentral:rRNA from 1 species
GUGGGGAAUAUUGGACAAUGGGCGAAAGCCUGAUCCAGCCAUGCCGCGUGUGUGAAGAAGGUCUUCGGAUUGUAAAGCACUUUAAGUUGGGAGGAAGGGCAGUAAGUUAAUACCUUGCUGUUUUGACGUUACCGACAGAAUAAGCACCGGCUAACUUCGUGCCAGCAGCCGCGGUAAUACGAAGGGUGCAAGCGUUAAUCGGAAUUACUGGGCGUAAAGCGCGCGUAGGUGGUUUUGUAAGUUGGAGGUGAAAUCCCCGGGCUCAACCUGGGAACUGCCUCCAAAACUGCAGGACUAGAGUACGGUAGAGGGUAGUGGAAUGUCCUGUGUAGCGGUGAAAUGCGUAGAUAUAGGAAGGAACACCAGUGGCGAAGGCGACUACCUGGACUGAUACUGACACUGAGGUGCGAAAGCGUGGGGAGCAAACAGGAUUAGAAACCCGGGUAGUCC